AUGGCUCAGGACGAACGCUGGCGGCGUGCUUAACACAUGCAAGUCGAACGGUAAGGCCCCUUCGGGGGUACACGAGUGGCGAACGGGUGAGUAACACGUGGGUAAUCUGCCCUGCACUUCGGGAUAAGCCUGGGAAACCGGGUCUAAUACCGGAUAUGAACUCCUGCCGCAUGGUGGGGGUUGGAAAGUUUUUCGGUGCAGGAUGAGCCCGCGGCCUAUCAGCUUGUUGGUGGGGUAAUGGCCUACCAAGGCGACGACGGGUAGCCGGCCUGAGAGGGUGAUCGGCCACACUGGGACUGAGACACGGCCCAGACUCCUACGGGAGGCAGCAGUGGGGAAUAUUGCACAAUGGGCGAAAGCCUGAUGCAGCGACGCCGCGUGGGGGAUGACGGUCUUCGGAUUGUAAACCCCUUUCAGUAGGGACGAAGCGCAAGUGACGGUACCUGCAGAAGAAGCACCGGCUAACUACGUGCCAGCAGCCGCGGUAAUACGUAGGGUGCGAGCGUUGUCCGGAAUUACUGGGCGUAAAGAGCUCGUAGGCGGUUUGUCACGUCGUCUGUGAAAUCCCUCGGCUUAACCGGGGGCGUGCAGGCGAUACGGGCAGACUUGAGUACUACAGGGGAGACUGGAAUUCCUGGUGUAGCGGUGAAAUGCGCAGAUAUCAGGAGGAACACCGGUGGCGAAGGCGGGUCUCUGGGUAGUAACUGACGCUGAGG
rnacentral:rRNA from 1 species